rnacentral:lncRNA from 1 species
UUUUUUUUUUUUUCCAAUGGUUCUACAUCUCAAGUCAACUUCAGAAGGAAAAAUAAAAAUUAACCAAGAGAGUUGUGCCAUUUGCAAGAAAAAAUUAUUAAAUAAAUAAAUAAAAUCACAUGCUAUCCCAUCCUCAACUUCGAAAAUCUCUGGUCGCUAAACCGCUCUAGAAUCCUCCUGCCUGGAAUAUGAACUUCAGAUUCAUCCGGCAUUGGCCUUCAGGCAAGAACAUCCUUUUCACAGUCCCUUAUAAAUUUCAUUCACCUUUAUUUACUGAGCACAGAAGCCUUAAAAAAUAUUUCAACAACAUUCAAAUAGAGGAAAGCUUUAGUCAUCUGCCUUAAGAAUUCUAUCUUCAGUUCGCCUAUAGACUGACACAAUUCUUGGCAUCUAGUAGGAACAGCAUGGAUCUUUCUGUAAAUAAUGCUCUCCAGAGAGGCAAAAAGCAAAAGAGAGUUGUCAAAUUUGAAUACAGCAGGAAUAACAGCUGAGCAGAAAGUAAGCAUGCUGGAGAGGCCCAUGUGGGGGGAAUUGCAGGAAGAGUGAGGACUGAGAAUGGGAAGACAUGAGUGGCAAAUUAGGACUUGCUAGGUGAGAAGAAUGGGUCUGAGAACAUUAUGGGAAAUUAGGCAACAGAAAUAGAAAUAGAAUAGAAUAGAAUAGAAAUAGAAUAGAAUAGAAAAGCCUGUGGCAAGGCAAAACAUUUAGAUUUAACUCUAGAAUAAACAAAGACUAGUAAAAAUACACUACAGUUACUGUUUUCUCUGUUGUUUUUUUUUUUUUUUUUUGUGACAGAAGUUUUCAUGGUGUUUUAAAAAUUUCAACACUGAAAAUAAAAGCAAAAUACUUGCCUUAACCUGAAGAAUCCAGAAACAUAGCAAAUAGCCAUGUGUUGAGAUCUCUUUAUUUUCUUUUUGCCUUACAUAAGCAUGACGAGAUCAUCAUGGGUGUUAGGGGCUAAGCUCGGUAGGCAGCUAAGAGCCACGCUGCCGCUUACUCUGUCCCGCCAUCACACAGGUGAAGAGAAAAGCAUGAGUGGAAAGCAAGCAUACUUGUAAGUCGAGAUAAAAAUUGUUCAACAAAAGAGAAGUGGG